rnacentral:lncRNA from 1 species
CCGCGGUCACCUGAGGACACAUUGCUUACCAAGACUCUCCACGCUAUGGUUGGUGUUUCUUCCUUUUCGUAAGCUACACUCUUUGCAAGGGUGCGGCAUUUUCCUUAUGCUUGUGAUGACGCACCCUUUCAUCAAUAAGGCAUCACUGAUUUACAACCGGUCCUUGAAAAGGAGCAAAGUCUUCAGAGUGAGCAUGUUCUGGAUUCUGCAGGACAUUCCUUAGGAUCCUUUUCAAGGCAGAAACCUAUUCUGGACCAGUGUGACAUCUAUUAUGUAAAUAAGCGUGGCUAAGCCAUGGGUGUAAUGUCUGCAUCCAGAGUGACGACUCUUUUCUGUGAACUAGAGACUGUCAUGUGACCUUUUUCCUUAUCCAUAAAAUGCAAAUGAUGGCAUAAACCUGCUUUACUAGGCUUUUAUGAAGGCUUAUGGCAACUUGCUUUUAAAAUUGAAAGUUCCAUGUAACAGCAUUGCACUGUGGUUAACGUCCUCCAAAGUUCUUUCUGUCCUACAUUAAAAUAUCUUUAAUUUUCACUAAAUGAAUUCAAGGUUUGUAAGAAUUCCAGCAGAAACUGGCCUGGAAAUUGUUUUAUAAUAUCUGUUUUGUUUUGCAUAUAAAUGCUAUAUAUAGUUAUUAUAGAAAGUCUGUAAAAUGAAUCUUAAUCUAUGAGCAGCAGUAAAGCAUAGUGGUUAAGUAACACCUGACAUUGCAAUUUAUGGGUGGCUUAGCUAUAUAUUUUAAGUAACAUCACCGUGAAUGAACCUAGGUUUGAUCUUUAAAAGGAGAAAAUAAUAAUGGCUCCUUUUUAGAGCUGUGAGAAUUUAAGUACUCAUUAGUUCUUAAGAAUAAUUCCUGAUUCAGGAUAAGUGCCCAAUAAAUGUUAGCAACUGCUAUUGUUAAUAUGAAUUUUUUCUCAUUUUAAUGAUAGUCAAUUUAUAUAAGUAAAUUGCACAUAAGCUGGAAUUGUUCUAUGGAAGUUGUGAAGAAUGGUCAUUUUCAACCUUUCAGAUAAUGCGAAAUUGCUCCUCAAAGUGCUGUAAGUUAUACACCUACCUAAAGGCUGAUUUUAUUUUUGAUUAUUUCUUGUGUUGGCUUUGGCAAGAUAGUAAGAUGUACUUUUCCUGGUAAUUAGCUGAUUUCCUAAGUUUUUUAAUUUACUGAAAUAAUAUUAUUCAAAAAACACCUUAUGUUUCCUUGCACCCAAUUAUCUGUUAAUAUACCUGCCUUGUUUUGUUCUAAUAUUGUUUUGGUCUUUUUUGGUUAGAAUGCUAUAUCUUUCAAGGGGUCAGUCCCCUGAGAAGGCAAAAAGAAAAAUCUGAUAAAUGUUUGUCUUUUGUUUUUUCUUUUUGUUCCCUACUACGUGUGCUGUCUAGUUUAUUAAUUUCUGUUAUUAUUACUAAGCCUUCUGUUUUAUUUUUGAUUUAUUUUGCUCCUUUUCUAACUUCACUAAAUUGAGUGGUUGGCUUUUUAAAUUAAACAUAUCUUCUUUUUCAAAAUAUAUAUUUAAGUCUUUCAGC